UACAGAGGUCCCAAGCGUUGUUCGGAUUCACUGGGCGUAAAGGGUGCGUAGGCGGUCGGGUAAGUCUGAUGUGAAAUCUCACAGCUUAACUGUGAAACUGCAUUGGAUACUAUCCGGCUAGAGGAAUGGAGGGGAGACUGGAAUACUUGGUGUAGCAGUGAAAUGCGUAGAUAUCAAGUGGAACACCAGUGGCGAAGGCGAGUCCCUGGACGACUCCUGACACUGAGGCACGAAAGCUAGGGGAGCAAACAGG
rnacentral:rRNA from 1 species